UACGUAGGUGGCAAGCGUUGUCCGGAUUUACUGGGCGUAAAGAGCGCGCAGGCGGUCGAUUAAGUCGAAUGUGAAAGCCCCCGGCUCAACUGGGGAGGGUCAUUCGAUACUGAUCGACUUGAAGGCAGGAGAGAGAAGUGGAAUUCCCGGUGUAGUGGAUGAAAUGCGUAGAUAUCCGGAGGAACACCGGUGGCGAAGGCGGCUUCCUGGACCGAUCACUGACGCUGGAGGCGACGAAAGACUAGGGGAGCAAACGGG
rnacentral:rRNA from 1 species